CAAGGUAUAGCUCAACACAAAGCAUCCUGCUUACACCCGGAAGAUAUCAACAUCACCUGAUUACCUUGA
rnacentral:tRNA from 1 species